UUAGAAUCUCUCUUAGGGAUAUAUGCUUUUCUAAUUCAGUACCAAGGCUGAUAAAUCAAAGGAUUUUCUUGUUCGUGGGCUGAGCUCCGGGAGGAUUGUAUACGAAUUUACAUUCCUAAAGCAUGAUCCAAUCAUGAGCAUAACUGAGGCAUGAAAUUUUCAAUUGAUGAGCAGGCCAGCUUCAAUGUAGGCGUGGAUCUUCACUUACUGCGGUGAUCACUGCAUCAAUUGGCCAUGAAUUGGGCCUUAAUCGCAAAACUUCCAGAUGUAUAGACAAAAUUGAGGAGGAAUUGGAAAACAAGAUCAGACUAUGCUCUGGUAGUUCAAAUCGAUUCCUUGCUUGAGAUUCACUGUGCAAGUAAAACUUCUAGGUAGCCUCUGGAGUUGUCUGGAAUCUUACGCUUUCUUCAAUUCGUGGAGUUGACUGUAUGAUUCUUCUCAUCUCAGGAAAUCUUGAAUCCUUGGGACUUGUUGAAUUAGGUGAGGCUAUGGUUCUAAAGCUUUUGGCUAGCAAAGAAGGAAUGGAGUUUAGCUUGUUGAAAUUUGGUUGGAGAAUUUCUGAAGCCGAGAACAUUACUGGGAAUGCUUGGGGAGUAGAAAUUAAGGAUCUAAAUAAAUAAUCAGGAACUUCUUAUCCGGCAAAUCCCUCACACUCAGGGAUGGAUAAAAUCAGUGAAAAUUUUGGCUUUCGCAGAUGCAUUGGCUUGAGAAAAGCUUGUAAUACAAAUUUUGGUUUGACUUCAAACAUAUCCCUAUUUUGUUACUGCAAUGAAAAAUUGUACUAUGUAGGAAAAGUUGGUUUAAUAAAGGCUUGAAAUAGUUAGUUUGAUUUGAUAUCAAGCUUAAUUUA